rnacentral:rRNA from 1 species
CAGCAGCCGCGGGAAUACGUAGGGUGCGAGCGUUAAUCGGAAUUACUGGGCGUAAAGCGUGCGCAGGCGGUUUUGUAAGACAGGCGUGAAAUCCCCGGGCUCAACCUGGGAAUGGCGCUUGUGACUGCAAAGCUAGAGUGCGGCAGAGGGGGAUGGAAGUCCGCGUGUAGCAGUGAAAUGCGUAGAUAUGCGGAGGAACACCGAUGGCGAAGGCAAUCCCCUGGGCCUGCACUGACGCUCAUGCACGAAAGCGUGGGGAGCAAAUGGGAUUAGAUACCCCGGUAGUCCCUGUCUCUUAUAC